rnacentral:rRNA from 1 species
GUGCACCAGGCGAGAAUUUUUCUCAAUGGGGGCAACCCUGAAGGAGCGACGCCGCGUGGAGGAUGAAGGCUUUCGGGUUGUAAACUCCUGUCAUUUGAGAACAAGUGUAGCCAAGUAACUACUGGCUACUUGAUAGUAUCAGAAGAGGAAGGGACGGCUAACUCUGUGCCAGCAGCCGCGGUAAUACAGAGGUCCCAAGCGUUGUUCGGAUUCAUUGGGCGUAAAGGGUGCGUAGGUGGCGCCGUAAGUGGGGUGUGAAAUUUCGGAGCUUAACUCCGAAACUGCAUUCCAUACUGCGGUGCUUGAGGACUGGAGAGGAGACUGGAAUUCAUGGUGUAGCAGUGAAAUGUGUGGAGAUCAUGAGGAAGACCAGUGGCGAAGGCGGGUCUCUGGACAGUUCCUGACACUGAGGCACGAAGGCCAGGGGAGCGAACGGGAUUAGAUACCCGGGUAGU